GAUGAAGAACGUAGCGAAAUGCGAUAAGUAAUGUGAAUUGCAGAAUUCAGUGAAUCAUCGAAUCUUUGAACGCACAUUGCGCCCCCUGGUAUUCCGGGGGGCAUGCCUGUUCGAGCGUCAUUUCACCACUCAAGCCUCGCUUGGUAUUGGGCAACGCGGUCCGCCGCGUGCCUCAAAUCGACCGGCUGGGUCUUCUGUCCCCUAAGCGUUGUGGAAACUAUUCGCUAAAGGGUGCUCGGGAGGCUACGCCGUAAAACAAACCCAUUUCUAAGGUUGACCUCGGAUCAGGUAGGGAUACCCGCUGAACUUAAGCAUAUCAAUAAGCGGAGG
rnacentral:misc_RNA from 1 species